rnacentral:rRNA from 1 species
AGUGAACGCUGGCGGCGUGCUUAAUACAUGCAAGUCGAACGAUGAAGUCCUAGCUUGCUAGGAUGGAUUAGUGGCGCACGGGUGAGUAAUAUAUAGUUAAUCUGCCUUGCACUGAGGAACAUCAGUUGGAAACGAUUGCUAAUACCUCAUACUCCAACUUUACAUAAGUUAAGUUGGGAAAGUCUUUUCGGUGCAAGAUGAGACUAUAUCGUAUCAGCUAGUUGGUAAGGUAAUGGCUUACCAAGGCUAUGACGCGUAACUGGUCUGAGAGGAUGAUCAGUCACAUUGGAGCUGGGACACGGUCCAAACUCCUACGGGAGGCAGCAGUAAGGAAUAUUGUGCAAUGGGGGAAACCCUGACGCAGCAACGACGCGUGGAGGAUGACACUUUUCGGAGCGUAAACUCCUUUUGUUAGGGAAGAAUAAUAACGGUACCUAACGAAUAAGCACCGGCUAACUCCGU